UUAACUACGUCAUAUAACAACUUUGUGCAUUCAUCUUUUCGAAAUUGUUCGAUCAUCUUUUUAAGGUAAAUUCUUAAAAGUAAUGGAGCUGGGUCUAGAAGUAUGCCCUUUGUCGUUUGGAUUCAAGUUGCCGAAUCGUCCUCAAAUUUGCAGGGAGACCAGCGAGGAAGCUCUGGCAUUAGUUCUGGUGAGAGACAGCUGAAACGGAGAUGGCGAGGGACGAACAGAAUCACAGUGGUCUUUGAGUCUACAAAAUCCGCCAGCGGAUGGUUGGCUGUAUUCCAUUGUCCGUGACCGGAGAGGGCGCGGCCCCUCUGCACCGGGCUCGCGGCGGGAGGCGCAGGCCGCGCGCGGGCUAAAGCAGGGCAUGCCGGGAGUUGUGGUCCCGGCGCUCUGAAGCUGUGGGACGUGUCGCGGCGCCGCGCCGGCUCCUCCUUCCCUGCCCUUCUGAGCGGUCCCCCGCCUCCUCCCUCCGCCUCCUCCCUCCGCCUCCCCCCUCCGCCUCCUCCCUCCGCCUCCUCCUCCCUCCGCCUCCUCCUCCCUCUCCCGCAGCCGAGCGUCCCCUCCCCCCACCCGUCGGGCUCCUCGGCGGCUACUGCAGAGGAUUCAGAGCCGAGUCGCUGAGGAGGAGGCUCCGGUCCCCGCGCGCCAUCCGACACCCUACUGGACACGG
rnacentral:lncRNA from 1 species